UAAACUAGGAUUAGAUACCCUAUUAUUUUAAAUGUAAAUAAUUUAAAUACUAAAUUAGUAUUAGUUAUGUUCUUGAAAAUUAAAAAAUUUGGCGGUAUUUUAGUCUCUUCAGAGGAACCUGUCCUGUAAUUGAUAGUCCACGAUAUAGAAUACUUUAUUUAUUAAUUUACAUAUCGUCGUAAUUAGAAUAUUUUAAAAGAAAAUUAAUAUUCUAAAUUUUAAAUUAAAAAGAAAAUCAGAUCAAGGUGUAGUUUAUAAUAAAGGAGAGAUGGGUUACAAUAAAAAUAUUUUAGGAUUAUUUUUAGGAUAAAAAUUUGAAUAUGGAUUUGAAAGUAAUUUUAUUAAGUUAAUUAAAAUGAUUUUAGCUCUAGAAUAUGUACACAUCGCCCGUCGCUCUUAA
rnacentral:rRNA from 1 species